CCUACGGGAGGCAGCAGUAAGGAAUAUUGGACAAUGGGCGAGAGCCUGAUCCAGCCAUGCCGCGUGCAGGAAGAAGGACCUAUGGUUUGUAAACUGCUUUUGAAUGGGAGAAAACCUGGGUACGUGUACCCAGCUGAUAGUACCAUUAGAAUAAGCAUCGGCUAACUUCGUGCCAGCAGCCGCGGUAAGACGAAGGAUGCAAGCGUUAUCCGGAUUCAUUGGGUUUAAAGGGAGCGUAGGCGGAUAGAUAAGUCAGUGGUGAAAUCUCUGGGCUUAACCCAGAAACUGCCAUUGAUACUGUUUAUCUAGAGUACAUUUGCUGUGGGCGGAAUAUGACAUGUAGUGGUGAAAUACUUAGAUAUGUCAUAGAACACCGAUUGCGAAGGCAGCUCACAAAAUGUAACUGACGCUGAGGCUCGAAAGUGCGGGGAUCAAACAGGAUUAGAUACCCUGGUAGUCCGCACUAGUAACGAUAGAUACUCGUCUGUCUGUAGGCGACGUACGUGAGUGGUCGUUAGACGAACGGAACGGUA
rnacentral:rRNA from 1 species